rnacentral:misc_RNA from 1 species
AAUUACUGCAACAAGAAUUGCUUUAAAAAUUAAGUAUUCUGUUAGCUUGUCGCACUGCCUGCUUUGUCCUCUCCAUUCUAAGCUCUGAAACCAAGCCACAACUUUCAUGUGUGGGAUGAGAACUCCCCUCUUCAAUCUCAUGUGGACUUGCAUCUUCGAAGUUCAAACUCUUUAUCCUCCUGAUUAAGAGACAGAAAGAAUGUAUGGAAGGCACAUCUAGAGCCAAAAUCCAGAGUAAUAAAAGAGGUAGCAAGUAGAAAAUAUCAGUAUAUUAGUAUUUUAAAUUUGCUGGGUAGAGAAUGCAAGUGCACAGCUACAGCUUCAUGCGGUGAUCAUGAUAAGAAAUGAAGGCAGCAGGUUACUUUCUCAUGGGUGCAGUAACCACUCUCUCGUACUGGCUCUGAUUCUACAUCAGGUAAACUUAGUGUGCCAGCCAACACAAAACAACAUUGCCUGGUUAUCAACAGGGAGGAUCUAUAAGAGCUUGUUUUCGAGGAGCUUAAUUUUAUUGAGCACACCCUCAUCAGCCACAAGAAAUUGAAGGCAUCAACUAGGUUAGCAAAGGGAAAACUUAUUCCCACUCCAAAACCUGUUAAUGCCGCUCCAACCUCCACCCUCAAGAAUAACAAUUUUGGAGCGGGAUUAGCAAUUUUGGAGCUUGAUUACCUGUUUGCUUUCCAAUUACAAAAAAAUUUACUUGCAUAAAGUGAUUCAGAUUUUAGCAAUUCUAUCUGGGGAAUUAAAUUGUAGCAAUCAUUGCAGCCCAUAUCUUUCCCGUGAAUCUCAGGGUAUGCCACAGAAGCAGCACAAUUUUUUCUUUUUUUUUGGUCGAAUUAUAGUGGGAAAAUAGGGAUAGGACUUUACACCAGCGGCUUGGAAAAGGGGUUGAUCUCUUACAGCUAUACUGAAAAUUCACAUGUUAAUCAGCCUUCAUAUGAAAGCAAAUACUCUCGAAAAAAAAGUUAGUAUAUAUUUAUAAUGUUCAUAGGAUUGCCAAUUGUGAACUUCUCAGACUAAUGACGCACAUAAGAUUGCAGAAAAUGACAAAUGAAUGUUAACUCAAGGUUAUCCACAUGUAAAUCAAUCAGCACCCUGAAGAGGAGAGCAGUAGUAGCAGGUUCUACAGUAUUCAAGAAUCCAAAAGCCCAGGUUGCAUCAAGAAUUCAAAACUUGAAAAGAGGAAAUAAAUUGCAAGAUAUAUGGAACCUUUACCACAACUGUACAUGGACAGCAGACAGAAACAAGAAUGCUUGUCCAAGGGGAGAGAUAAAAUCAUAGUAUACAAGUGUUUAAACUUUUUACCCCAUAUGAAUAAAUCACUUCAAAAUUAAUUCAAUCCGUUGUCUCUUAUAAUCCAUCUGUUUUUCAAUAAAAACAAAAUGGCUGGACCAGUUCAAGCUAAGGUCAGAUGAAAGAAUUGUAAGAACUAGAAACCUCUGUUUUCAACAUCAACUGCAAAAAACACACUGGGAACGUUUAGAUAAGGGAUUUUCUUCCUCAGAAGCUUUUUCCAAAAGUUUCAUUAGAUAAGUUGCUUUUGGAAAAGAGCACCUUUUUAUCAUCAGCUCCAUCUUUACACACAAUUAUAGGAGCAUCGCUUUUGGCAUUUCUUAACUUUUCCGCCAAUAUUUUGUUCUCCCUUGUCAAAGAAAAUAGCUGCAUAAAACAUGUCAUAAGGGCAGAACUGGAGAUGGAUUUUAUAGUCCUAUUAGCCUGUUAUAGAUGGCAACAUAAAUUUACACACUUCUAUUUUAAGGGGGGCGGGAAAAAGCAGAAAAUAAGGUAACAUAACUGAGAAAAGGGGAGGGAAAAGGAAUUAAGCAAUAUUAUGAUUGUCAAUGGAUAUCUCAUGGAAAUCAGUGAUCCAAUUUUGUUUUGCAUACUAAAGGCCAAUUAGCUAAGCCUGGUAGCACCCAUGAUGGAACCAUUACAUUGGUAGUAUAAGCUUUAGGGUAUCACGUGCUGCCUUUGAAAUUUCUAUUAACAAUAGCAAUGACAAAUUCCAUUUUUUUUCCACUAGCUCUGUUAUAUGGUAGACUUAAAUAAAAUAUUAUAGGAGAGGUAUAAAACAUGUCUACUUAUGGCAGAAAUUCAAAUGCACUAUUAAGUUCCUACAUUCAAUUUGAAAGCAAACGAUGGAACAGGCACUCUAAAGUUACAGGUUCAAAUUAAUGUUAGUAGUAAAUAUGCAGCUAAUUUAAUACCUGAUUCUGGAUGUGCUCCCUUGCUCUGGUUAAUUGCCUUACUGUAUCCAUGAUAAGCCUGGUCCU